GAUGAACGCUAGCGGCAGGCCUAAUACAUGCAAGUCGAGCGGUAACAGGUGUAGCAAUACAUGCUGACGAGCGGCGCACGGGUGCGUAACACGUAUGCAACCUACCUUUAACUGGAGGAUAGCCGCCCGAAAGGGUGAUUAAUACUCCAUAACAUUAUGAAAUAGCAUUAUUUUAUAAUUAAAGCUCCGGCGGUUAAAGAUGGGCAUGCGUCCGAUUAGCUAGUUGGCGAGGUAAAAGCUCACCAAGGCUACGAUCGGUAGGGGUUCUGAGAGGAUAUACCCCCACACUGGUACUGAGACACGGACCAGACUCCUACGGGAGGCAGCAGUAAGGAAUAUUGGACAAUGGAGGCAACUCUGAUCCAGCCAUGCCGCGUGAAGGAUGAAGGUGCUAUGCAUUGAAACUUCUUUUGAACGGGGAGAAAAACCUUUUGGGUACGUGUUACCCGAAAGCUGAUAGUACCGUUAGAAUAAAGGGGUCGGCUAAACUUUCGUGCCAGCAGCCGCGGUAAU
rnacentral:rRNA from 1 species